UACGUAGGGUGCGAGCGUUAAUCGGAAUUACUGGGCGUAAAGCGAGCGUAGGUUGCUCGACAAGUCAGUGGUGAAAUCCCCGGAGCUUAACUUCGGAACUGCCAUUGAAACUGUUGGGCUAGAAUCUCAGAGGGGGUAGCGGAAUUCCAAAUGUAGGGGUGAAAUCCGUAGAUAUUUGGAGGAACACCGGUGGCGAAGGCGGCUACCUGGAUGAGUAUUGACACUGAGGCUCGAAAGCGUGGGGAUCAAACAGG
rnacentral:rRNA from 1 species